GACGAACGCUGGCGGCGUGCUUAACACAUGCAAGUCGAGCGGUAAGGCCCUUUCGGGGGUACACGAGCGGCGAACGGGUGAGUAACACGUGGGUGACCUGCCCUCAGCUCUGGGAUAAGCCUGGGAAACUGGGUCUAAUACUGGAUAUGACUCCACGGUGCAUGUCGUGGGGUGGAAAGCCUUGUGCGGCUGAGGAUGGGGCCCGCGGCCUAUCAGCUUGUUGGUGGGGUGAGGCCUACCAAGGCGACGACGGGUAGCCGGCCUGAGAGGGCGACCGGCCACACUGGGACUGAGACACAGCCCAGACUCCUACGGGAGGCAGCAGUGGGGAAUCUUGCGCAAUGGGCGAAAGCCUGACGCAGCGACGCCGCGUGA
rnacentral:rRNA from 1 species